UCGGCUGCUUUGUUGAGCCGU
rnacentral:siRNA from 1 species